UCAACUUUCGAUGGUAGGAUAGAGGCCUACCAUGGUGGUAACGGGUAACGGGGUGUUAGGGCACGACACCGGAGAGGGAGCCUGAGAAACGGCUACCACAUCCAAGGAUGGCAGCAGGCGCGCAAAUUACCCAAUCCCGACACGGGGAGGUAGUGACAAUAAAUAACAAUACGGGGCUCAUUUGGGUCUCGUAAUUGGAAUGAGUACAAUUUAAAUCCCUUAACGAGGAACAAUUGGAGGGCAAGUCUGGUGCCAGCAGCCGCGGUAAUUCCAGCUCCAAUAGCGUAUAUUAAAGUUGUUGCAGUUAAAAAGCUCGUAGUUGAAUUUCGGGAUUGACGUGAUGGUCGUGCCUUAAGGGGUAUGAACUGUUGCUGUUGAUUUCUCACCUUCUGGAGAAACUUGAUGUCCUUAAUUGGGUGUCUUGCGGAUCCAGGACCUUUACCUUGAAAAAAUUAGAGUGUUUAAAGCAGGCAUUUUGCUCGAAUACAUUAGCAUGGAAUAAUAGAAUAGGACGGCAUGGUUCUAUUUUGUUGGUUUCUAGGAUCACCGUAAUGAUUAAUAGGGAUAGUUGGGGGCAUUAGUAUUCAAUUGUCAGAGGUGAAAUUCUUGGAUUUAUUGAAGACUAACUACUGCGAAAGCAUUUGCCAAGGAUGUUUUCAUUAAUCAAGAACGAAAGUUAGGGGAUCGAAGACGAUCAGAUACCGUCGUAGUCUUAACCAUAAACUAUGCCGACUAGGAAUCAGACGAUGUUAAUUUUUUAAUGACUCGUUUGGCACCUUACGGGAAACCAAAGUGUUUGGGUCC
rnacentral:rRNA from 1 species